CUACGGGACGCACCAGUGGGGAAUAUUGGACAAUGGGGGAAACCCUGAUCCAGCAAUGCCGCGUGUGUGAAGAAGGCCUGCGGGUUGUAAAGCACUUUCGGUUGGGAGGACUGCUUCUAGCACUAAUAUUGUUGGAAGUUGACGUUACCUUCAGAAGAAGCACCGGCUAACUCCGUGCCAGCAGCCGCGGUAAUACGGAGGGUGCAUGCGUUAAUCAGAAUUACUGGGCGUAAAGCGCGCGUAGGCGGCUAGAUCAGUCGGGUGUGAAAGCCCCGGGCUUAACCGGGGAACUGCAUCCGAUACUGUCUAGCUUGAGUACAGGAGAGGAGAGUGGAAUUCCACAUGUAGCGGUGAAAUGCGUAGAUAUGUGGAGGAACACCAAUGGCGAAGGCAGCUCUCUGGCCUGAUACUGACGCUGAGGUGCGAAAGCGUGGGGAGCAAACAGGAUUAGAUACCCCUGUAGUC
rnacentral:rRNA from 1 species